rnacentral:rRNA from 1 species
UACGAAGGUCCCAAGCGUUGUUCGGAAUCACUGGGCGUAAAGGGAGCGUAGGCGGCGUGGUAAGUCAGAUGUGAAAUCCCGGGGCUCAACCCCGGAACUGCAUCCGAUACUGCCAUGCUUGAGGGUUGGAGAGGUAGCUGGAAUUAUCGGUGUAGCAGUGAAAUGCGUGGAUAUCGAUAGGAACACUCGUGGCGAAGGCGAGCUACUGGACAACAUCUGACGCUGAGGCUCGAAGGCUAGGGGAGCAAAAGGA